CUACGGGAGGCAGCAGUGGGGAAUCUUCCGCAAUGGGCGCAAGCCUGACGGAGUGACGCCGCGUGGGGGACGAAGGCCUUCGGGUCGUAAACCCCUGUCAGAGGGAAAGAAGGGCCGGCCGGUGAACAGCCGGUCGGCUUGACGGUACCUUCAGAGGAAGCCCCGGCCAACUCUGUGCCAGCAGCCGCGGUA
rnacentral:rRNA from 1 species